GCUAGGUGUGGUGGUGGAUGCUUGUAAUCCCAGAGGCUUGGGAGGCUGAGGCAGGAGGAUUGCGAGUUCAAAGCCAGCUCAGCAACCUAGUGAGGCCCUAAGCAACUCAGUGAGACCCUGUCUCUA
rnacentral:sRNA from 1 species